UGAAUAGUAAUGGAAAUGAAACCCUGACUCCGACCCACAGGCUUCAGCCCGUCCCCGUCCCUGUGCCCAUGGUGGUGUAGCAGCCCCCGCAGUGCCCUGGCGGAUGGGAUCCUGCCUGCGGCCUUCAAUUUAAAAGAAAUAUAAUUUCUGUCAUUCCUAUUUCCCAGGCAUGGUGAGGAGAAACACCCCUCUGCUCUGAGGCACAAACGCCAGGCUACUGAGGGGGAAAAGAGGUUCUGAGGAAAGAAGUUAUCUAUUCUGGAAAGCUGAUUUCAGCGAGGCAUUCGACCCUUGGGACAACGGCAAGAUCCUGAAAAAGUGGACUUACCUGGCACGUUUGUCACAUGCUAAAGGGUCUAACAGGCCACCACACGGGCAGCACCGCUGCUCCGGCUCAAUGUCAGGUGUGAUCAGGUGGGGCUGUGACUCUGCCGUGGGAAUACAGAAGAGUCUGAAAGAGAGCUAUGCUGGCUGACUUACCUUGAAUUCUGCUAGAAGCAAUAUUGCUGAAGUUUUCUGAAUUUGAGCACAUGGGCAAACUUGCUGGGAACAUACGUAUGCAAAGCACCGGCGUUAUGGGCCAGAUCAGCAAGUGGUACAAGUUGCCAUGGCUGGACUUCCUCCGGUGGAGUUGCUGUCCUGCUCCAGUUGUGUGUUUGCCCUGGGCCUGGCGUACUGCAAGAAGACACCUCUGACAGGCACCACGACUGGCUGGACAAGCCUGCUGGGCCUGGGUGAGCACCACAGCUGCCCCCAGCUCCAGAUACCAGAAGAGUGGGAAGGCUUGUCUGGAGAGUUGCUUUUUGUCACCUACUUUUUCUGCAUCAGCCUAUGGAUCCUCUGCAGCUGGAAAUGUGGAAACUAGCUGUCUGUUUUAAUGGAAAAGACUUUUAUAUGGAAGUUAAAAAGGACGUAACUGGGCUUCAGGUUGACUGCUACCAGGACACAACAAGCCAGAAGCCUGCCAGACACCUCGUAGCACCGUUUGGUGAUUACCAUGUAAAAGGAAGACUCUAAGCCAAGGUCUUAGAGAGGCUGACUGAGUUGUUUGCA